UAGCGGGACGAAAUUGUCGGGCUGGCUACGCCACUGAAUCGCACCCGUUGCUCUCAGCAACUCCCGGCAUCCCUGCAGGGAAACAAGAGUAUAUAGUGUACCUGCGCCAAUGGUUUUUGGUAAAAAGUAAACCUCAAGUGUUUUUUGAUGGGCGUAUACACGGGGUAGCGUAUAUACGGGGGGGGGGGCUGUAAUAGUGAUAAACAAGUAUAGUUAUAGUGAUAAGUAGUGAUAGUAGUGAUAAACAAGUGGGCUUAUAUUUGGGUGGGCUUAUAUUUGGUAUAUUUGGAGGGCUUAUAUUUGGAAUGGUGUGAACGUUAGUAAUAUGUAUAGGUUAUUCUGAGGCAACGAGGGGAUAUGUGAUUUAUUCACCGAGGCGCGCAGCGCCGAGGUGAAUAAACACAUAUUUCCGAGGUGCCUCAAAAUGUACGUACUUAUUUUUCACACUGCGAGGUCGCGUUAAU